AAAAACUUAUUUUAGGUCCCUGGUUUGAAGGACCUCUUUCCAGUUUUUUUUUUCAGAUAGCCCAGCAGCCAUCCGGGCCCUUUAAAACAGGACGAUGAAAUCUAAGCUGCUUAGAGACUGCUUCGACAUGCACCAAAUUUUGGAAGCCAAAACACGGAUACUGUAGAAUCGAAGAAAAUGAGGUCGACGAGUGCCGAAGAGUAGGCACAAGAAGGAUCACUAACUGACUUUUAGGGACCUGGAACAUUCUGUGGUCUCAGUUGGUCCUCCUCGAGUGCCAUAGUUACUCAGUUGAUACACUCUGAACGCGGUAAGUGCUGUCGCGAACGAGAAACAUAAAACAAGUCCAGAUCGUUCGCGUUCGCGAAUGUUAGGUAGAAAAAUAUUCCGCUGUUCGUACACGUACCUAUGUGUUGGUGGACCAAGCAGCGUGCGUUCAUAUAACUAUGUAGCUAUAAGUUGCAUCGAUACGUUCGCGAACGUUCACUACUGUCGUUCUCGUUCAUAAGUGAAUGCAAAUGCUGCGUCAGUGCGUCAAACAUUCGCGGAAAGUUGGUGUGGCUAGAUAUAUUAUUCUAUGCGAAGGCAAUUUUGUUAAUUUCAUAAGAUUUGCACCCAUGAUUCAAUAAAAAAAAGGUUUUGUAAUAAAACAGUCUUCUCGCUCCCACACAUAAAAUCGGCUCUUUUACUUGUGCAGAAUGUUGCUGACUAUAGUUUCUAGUCAUAUUGGUAGUAAAAGCUAAAGUUCUUCAUACUAAAUAUCCGUUGGCAUCACUGACUCGUUUUUGUCAUCUCCUUUACAUUAAUUCGUUGACAUUUGCCAUUCCGAUUGCGUUAAUUCUGAAUAUCAUCUCGUAGUUACCACGGUAAGUUUCUUUGGGUUUUUUUUUUGGUGUUUUCCAUGUCCAAGUGGGGCGCCACAAACUACGUUAGCGUUCCAAACACACACACACACGUUCCUAUUCGCUUUUGGAUUUGCCUGUCCAAGUGCAGCAGCACCCUUUCGUAAGUGCUUACUUUAUGUCAGAGGUGGGCACUCACACUAUCACACACAUGCGCUUUUGUGCGAAGCAGCGACCCUGUGGGGAAAAUCUCUAGUUCUGAACUGGUGCGCUUCUAGUACAUUUAGACCCAGUAUUGGGUCGCGAUAAAUCUCUUUUGCAUGCAAGCAACUGGCGAAUUUAACAUGGCGAUGUCCUAGGAAGUGUCAAUUGUCGCCCGCUGCAUCCCUUUUUCGAUAGUUCCGAACAAGUCCUAAAUUCUAUAGUUCCGAACCAGUUCUGAAAUCGGCGGACGAAAGAAAAAAAGUAUCAUAAUUUUGUAAUCUUUUUGGUUCUUCCGUGUGUGCGAUGUUAAGUUAUUUUGGAAGCAAUGUGUUUUUAAUUUGAAAUUAAAUUUGUUUGAAUGAUU